rnacentral:rRNA from 1 species
UACCAGCACCCCGAGUGGUCGGGACGAUUAUUGGGCCUAAAGCAUCCGUAGCCGGUCCUGCAAGUCUUCCGUUAAAUCCAGCUGCUCAACAGAUGGGCUGCGGGGGAUACUACAGGGCUAGGAGGCGGGAGAGGCAAGCGGUACUUUAUGGGUAGGGGGUAAAAUCCGUUGAUUCAUAGAAGACCACCAGUGGCGAAGGCGGCUUGCCAGAACGCGCUCGACGGUGAGGGAUGAAGCUGGGGGAGCAAACCGG